rnacentral:lncRNA from 1 species
UCAACCCUAUCACGACAUUGACACACAAGCAAAGAUAGCCCUUGCCUGUUCUGCCAUCCACAACUUCUUAAGGAUUGAUGACGUUGAAGAUGUUUGUGAGGAGGACGACUUAGAUAGUAGUGAUGAUGAGGUUAACCCUACGCAUGUUGAUGUACCUGAAGAUGAAACUCCAAAUGCUCACAUAUCUUUCACAAAUCAGGAAGUGUGGUCUAAUAAGAGGAAUGCGAUUGCUGAUUUAAUGUGGGCUGAUUAUCUUCCCAAUCAGAAUGCGGGAAUUGAUUUCGAUUGAAAUCUUGUUUUUUUUUCUAUGUAAUGGAUAUAAACUUACUAGACUUUCAUAUGUAGUAAUUG